AUAAUUGCAAAGAAAGACGCCUCCCAGAUACCAUUUGUGAUGACUUUAAUGGCAACUUUGGUAACAUUUGUGUGGCUUCUAUAUUCAAUCAUUUUAAAAGAUACCUUCAUGCUGGCACAACAUAUAGCGGGAUUCCUUCUGUGUUUCAUACAAAUGGCGUUAAUCGUGACAUUCCGGGGUAAGUCCGCAAAAGCAACCAAAAAGAAGAAAAACUAGGGUAUAAAAUGACUUUAAAAAAGUUUGUAACCCGUAAUUUUACAUUCCAGGUAAGUAAGCCGAAAGUAGUGAUACAGACGAAAUGUGAAGCGUCUAAUUUAGUAAAAAUAUAUAUAUUUUAAUAACCGUUUUGUAAUUCCGACUUGUGGAAAAUAAAAUUCGCCCCUAAAUAAAAAUCCAAAUAUCUA